rnacentral:lncRNA from 1 species
AAAAAAAAAAAAAAAAAAAAAAAGACUGUAAAUAUUAUUUACUAAUUCUCAAGGAGAAUUAAAAAAAGAAAAAAAAGAAAAAAAAAGAAAAGGAAAAGCCGAUGAUGCUUACCCUUGCUGAAUUUUUGAUUGCUUUUGAAAAUAAAAAAUGCAGCAACCACACAGCUUACUCCCCUCAAGACAAGGUCCACUCUUUAGUCUCAGUGAAUAACUAUUGCACUCAAUACAACUCAUUUAAGUCUACAUCAAUCAAACAAAUAGUACCUAAAUGAACAUUAACCAGUUGAAAUAUUACAGCCUUGGGAUAUUGGCAACAAGCAAAAAUCUCCUCACCAUUAAACCAGUACAAGUUGAUAAUCAAAUUAUGUAAUUAAACUUCAAUAAUUGUAUUUUUAAGAAGUGCCAAAAGCAUAAAAUUCAUAGUAAUUAAUAAUGCAUAGCACAAAACAUAGCCACUGCUCAGAGCCAGAUUUCAAUUUAAUCAAGAAAUGACCAAAAUACGUUGCAGAAUAGCGUCCAUAUUUUUCGAGUAAAAACUAAGAUUGGAAUCCUAAUAAACGAUAAUCAUCCUAAACAGGAACAGAUCAUUACAAUUAUCCAACAAUAAACAACUGAAAAAAAAAUGGUAAAACAAUCUUUCAAACAAAACAAGAACUAAAACCACCCAUAAUCAGAUUCACUCGAAAGCCAUGAUAAACAAGAAAAUCAAGAAACGAGAACAAGAUAUAAAUAAACUAAAAUAUUUUUUUUUUCACAAAGACCAUAAUCAGGUUCACCAGAUAGCGAUGAUGAACAAUAAAUUCAACAAAAGAUAAAAUGAAAUAAAAUAUUUUCUUCAAAGAAUAAGAGAAGACCACUGACCAACGACACUGGAUCCUCCUGAGCCUAGUGUCAUGGUCAAGUUACGUGGACUGGUUUUUUUGGAGUGGGGAUGGCUUCGAUUGGAGAGACAGAUUCGGAGAAGACGGAGUCGAGGAUCUGAAGAAAAUUAACACGAUAUUGCGACUUUUCAGAAAAGGCAAGUAGAUAAUAAUAAUAAUUUCCAAGAGAGGGUGCCUAAAUAAUAUUUGAGGAAAAUAAAAGAAAAAUUACAGUUAAUCAGUUAAAUUUACAACUUGAGGAAAUUUCUUGAAAAUGAAAAAAUGUAUUUAAGAAAUGUGCAGUCUGGAUUGCUCAAGACUGUAACACAUUUUCAAUUAUUAUCGAUCCAACUACAACAUAUAAUCUGAGUUAUCAUCAUUGAUAUACGGUCACAAAAUAUAGAGCAAGAAAGAAUCUCUUAAAUUAUAAUUCUUUUCAUUAGUAGGAUUUAUGGGAUGAACUAAAAGCGUAAUUCGAAUCAUAUUGAAAUAGUUCCGUGCAAGAUAUUUUAUCCGUCAGUUUUAUCUCUCAAUAACGAACUUAACAUAUAAAGAAUUUAU